CGGAGGGGCUAGCGUUAUUCGGAAUUACUGGGGCGUAAAAGCGCACGUAGGCGGCUUUGUAAGUAAGGGGUGAAAGCCUGGAGCUCAACUCCAGAACUGCCUUUUAGACUGCAUCGCUUGGAUCCGGGAGAGGUGAGUGGAAUUCCGAGUGUAGAGGUGAAAUUCGUAGAUAUUCGGAAGAACACCAGUGGCGAAGGCGGCUCACUGGACCGGUAUUGACGCUGAGGUGCGAAAGCGUGGGGAGCAAACAGGAUU
rnacentral:rRNA from 1 species